UACGUAGGGGGCUAGCGUUGUCCGGAAUCAUUGGGCGUAAAGCGCGUGUAGGCGGCCCGGUAAGUCCGCUGUGAAAGUCCAGGGCUCAACCCUGGGAUGCCGGUGGAUACUGUCGGGCUCGAGUCCGGAAGAGGCGAGUGGAAUUCCUGGUGUAGCGGUGAAAUGCGCAGAUAUCAGGAGGAACACCAAUAGCGAAGGCAGCUCGCUGGGACGUGACUGACGCUGAGACGCGAAAGCGUGGGGAGCAAACAGG
rnacentral:rRNA from 1 species